rnacentral:tRNA from 1 species
GUCCCCGUAGCUCAGCGGAUAGAGCGCAUCCCUCCGGAGGAUGAGGCCAGAGGUUCAAAUCCUCUCGGGGACG